CGUGCAGACUAAGACUUUAAAGGUCUACGAUUUUUGGGUCAUGACACCUUGAUGUGAACGCCAGCAUCAAGCUCUGUCGAAGGCAGUUAAGUAAUCAGCAAACAGGUUUAUAGCUGUAGUGCUGCCUUCCCAACAAGCUCUUAAAUCAUUGUCGAGGCAAACAUUAC
rfam:Tolypothrix bouteillei VB521301 scaffold_5, whole genome shotgun sequence.